CGACGGGGGGUGCUAGCGUUGUUCGGAAUUACUGGGCGUAAAGGGCGCGUAGGCGGCUCUGCGAGUCGGGCGUGAAAUCCCGGGGCUCAACCCCGGAACGGCGCUCGAUACUGCGGGGCUGGAGACCGGAAGAGGAGGGUGGAAUUCCCAGUGCAGAGGUGAAAUUCGUAGAUAUUGGGAGGAACACCGGUGGCGAAAGCGGCUCUCUGGUCCGGUUCUGACGCUGAGGCGCGAAAGCGUGGGGAGCAAACAGGAUUAGAAACCCUAGUAGUCC
rnacentral:rRNA from 1 species